AAAUGAAAUUACGAAAAUUUAAUGAGACAUUUUCAUCUCUCUCCAUGAUCCGUUCCACUGCAACUAAACCCUUAUUAUGCUUUAUUAUUGUAUACAAUGAAGUAACAUCUAUGGUUACCCAAACAUUAUCUGGUUCCCAGACUACAUUCUCCAUAAUUCUCAAAACAGGGGCAGUGUCUUUUAAAUAAGAGGGUGCUUCCUGAGAGUAUCUUUGAAGAUGAUGGUCUACAAAUUCAGAUAGAUGAGCAGAUAUAGAGUU